rnacentral:rRNA from 1 species
AUUGAACGCUGGCGGCAUGCCUUACACAUGCAAGUCGAACGGCAGCAUGAUCUAGCUUGCUAGAUUGAUGGCGAGUGGCGAACGGGUGAGUAAUACAUCGGAACGUGCCCUGUAGUGGGGGAUAACUAGUCGAAAGAUUAGCUAAUACCGCAUACGACCUGAGGGUGAAAGUGGGGGACCGCAAGGCCUCAUGCUAUAGGAGCGGCCGAUGUCUGAUUAGCUAGUUGGUGAGGUAAAGGCUCACCAAGGCGACGAUCAGUAGCUGGUCUGAGAGGACGAUCAGCCACACUGGGACUGAGACACGGCCCAGACUCCUACGGGAGGCAGCAGUGGGGAAUUUUGGACAAUGGGCGAAAGCCUGAUCCAGCAAUGCCGCGUGUGUGAAGAAGGCCUUCGGGUUGUAAAGCACUUUUGUCCGGAAAGAAAUGGCUCCGGUUAAUACCUGGGGUCGAUGACGGUACCGGAAGAAUAAGGACCGGCUAACUACGU